ACACACACACGCACAGACUCUCACACACACACACACACACACACAGACACACUCACACGCACACACACACACACACACAGACUCUCACACACACACACAGACACACACACGCACAGACUCUCACACACACGCACACACACACAUGCUGGCCUUGCACAGUUGUUUACUGACAGGAGACGCGGUCUCCAAUGGGACGUAUGUGACUUUGACGUGUUCAGACAUUACUGCACGUGAGUGACAUGCGUGUGAUCUGAAUCAAACACGGACGUUUCCGGAACAUGUGUCCCGCAAAAGGGCACGUCACACACACACAACCCAGAAUAGAAAACAACAAGUACAGUGAAUGGAUUUAAAUAUAUACAUAUAUAAAUGGAAAAAUAUUUACAAUUACAUUGAAAAUAUAUUGAUCAAUCUUCACCAGGUUCGCUGUUGUAAUAUAUGCGUAUAGUAUGUAAACCUAGCAUAAAUUUUAAUCAAUAUCAUUAAAACAUUCAUGUUAUCUUGUCUUUCUGUAUAAAAUCUAUUACAUUCUGUGUUUCCCUACAGAGAACUAAACAUCUACGACAUGAACCACACAAAUACUAAACGCAAGCACACACGUGCGCACACACACAGCACUGUAAGAUACACAUACACAAAACGCAGGAUUCCCUUUAAACACAAAGAUUAUUAUUAUUAUGAUUUUGUCUUUUUCUAGAUAUGUAUUUAUUUAUGAACAAGGAAUCAGUGUGCCAUUUAUUAUUGGUUUUGACAUUUGUUUUGACAUACUUUGCUGCUAUCUUGACUAUUAUUUAUGAAACUGAAACUUCCUAUAAUGUUGGUAUUAUAUGAUCAUUAUCUCAAUCAUUAUUAUAAUUAUUGGCUCAAUUUCUAAGUGGGUUUGAUAAGCAGACACUUCAGUAACUGUUAUAAUGAACUAUAAUGUUUAUAUUUUGGGGAUUUUAUAACUGAGUACUGAUUUCUAGCUGGGAUGAAGCUUUUGCAUUUGCCUGGUCUUAAGAUGGCUGCUGUCACUCCGUAUGUAUUCCAGUUUAACACACUGGCGGUUAAAUGGUCUAAAGCCCUGCUCCUCAAAUCACGGUCCAGAGGGCCAAGAGCUGCUGAUAUUCCAUCCUCCCUUUACCUGGGAGUCAGGUGUGAUCACCCUCCCUUUACCUGGGAGUCAGGUGUGUUCACCCUCCCUUUACCUGGGAGUCAGGUGGAGUCAGGUGUGUUCACCCUACCUUUACCUGGGAGUCAGGUGGAGUCAGGUGUGUUCACCCUACCUUUACCUGGGAGUCAGGUGGAGUCAGGUGUGUUCACCCUACCUUUACCUGGGAGUCAGGUGUGAUCACCCUCCCUUUACCUGGGAGUCAGGUGGAGUCAGGUGUGAUCACCCUCCCUUUACCUGGGAGUCAGGUUUGAUGACAGUCUGGCCUGUCACCUGCACUAGUUGUUCAUUUUUUUUACCUGGAAGGAAAGGACGACAGGGCUGGGUGUGGAUUUGAGGCCAGAGUUGAGGAUUUGUGGUCUAAAGAGUGUGCCUGUGGUGUUAUGCCAGCGUCCGUGUGUUACAGUUGGGUAGGUACUUUCUUCCUGUUUGUAGCUGGGAAUAGGAACGUCUGGGAAUAUUAAUAUUUGAGAACGGGAAUAUUUGAAAAUAGGAAUUUUACAUUCAAUUAGUUUGGUUGAGACUGAAUGUAAAAUUCCUAUUGUCAUAUGGAAUCAGCUGCAAACAGGAAGAGGAUUGCUGAUCUGUGCCAAAUGUACCUCCUCACCCCCCAUCAAAAAAAGACAAAAUGCAGCUCCUAUAAAUAUAGGAGAAAAUGGCAGCUUUCAUGUUCAGACCAAAAACGUUUAUGUGAUAUCAUCUCUGGUGAAAAGGUUUGAGCUAUGCUUAAAGAUGCACACACUUGCUUAGACCUGGAGACUGUUAACAGCCAAAUACAAUCACCUUUUACAGUUUGUAUAUCUACUCUUCAGAAGAAAAACAUUAAAAGAAUGAAGUUUAAUAAUUUCAUGAAGUCUCCAUCGUUUUUGAAAACAGGCAAUGAAGCAGGCAGCCUGGAGCCUGUUAGUGUAUCCACUAGACUGCUUCUCUUCCCGCGUAAGAAAUGUUCAGCAAAAUGGCAAGAACAUUAAAUAAACGGUUUGUCUGUGGCUUUGUGCAGGCUGGAGGCGUGCACUGUGUUGUGGGUCUGUUGUCUUUAUAGGGAACACUAAUUAGAAUCAGAAACCCUGUUUGGAGUUUUGCAUUUUGUAUUGAAUCUGUGGGGAGAAACUUUGAAAGCAAGUAUGAGGUUUAAACCUGUGACGAUGUCCAGUCUUGUUGUUUGUUCCACAGAGAGGUUACAUUUAAACUGUCCUGAUUAUCUGGCAUAGUUUUGUUUUUCAGAUUUUUCACACAAUGUGAAAACAAGGGGGUCUGAUAACCAUAAGUUAACCUGCUCAACCCUGUUCCUGGAUAUCUACCGUCCUGUAGGUUUUCACUCCAACCCUAACAAAGCAGACCUCAUUCAACAGCUAGAGCAGGGCUGCCCAACCUUGUUCCUGGAUAUCUACCGUCCUGUAGGUUUUCACUCCAACCCAAACAAAGCUCACCUCAUUCAACAGCUAGAGCAGGGCUGCCCAACCUUGUUCCUGGAUAUCUACCGUCCUGUAGGUUUUCACUCCAACCCUAACAAAGCACACCUCAUUCAACAGCUAGAGCAGGGCUGCCCAACCCUGUUCCUGGAGAUCUACCGUCCUGUAGGUUUUCACUCCAACCCUAACAAAGCACACCUCACUCAACAGCUAGCGGUCUCGCUGAGCUACUAUUUAUUAUAAUUAGGUGUGCCAAAUUAGGGUUGGAGUGACAACCUACAGGUUGGGCAUCCCUGGUAUACAGCAUUUAAUUCUAAUUAAUUUAGAGUUUCUACAUCAUAUGCCUACAUUACAUUGCAUUACAGGCAUUUAGCAGACGCUCUUAUCCAGAGCGACGUACAAUGAAGUGCAGAUCAAACAUACAUGCAUACAUACACACACACACACAUACAUACACACACAUACACACACACACACACACAUACACACAUGCAUACAUACAUCGAACACGUACAUAAGGUCUCUCCACCCUGGUUAGUUGCAGCGUGGACACGCAGGGCGAAAACAUCCCAUCUGAAAGUGACGAAGCAGUGUCAGAUGCGUGACAGUGUAAAUGUAGCCAAUAAGAGGAUUUGUAAUUGUGGUGUAUGUGUGUUAAACUACUGACACAGAUAUCUAACUGACAAUCUUAUUGAAAGAAAAGGAUAUGAGCAGAGGAAUACAAAUUACUAUUAAAAAGUUAUAAUGAUUAUAAUAAUGAAAAUAAGAACAGUACAAAGCUGUAGUAAAUUAAUAAUAAUCACAGGUAAUGCUGAUAAUAAUGAACUGCUGUAUAAAAAAAUGUUUUGUAUAUUAUUCUGUGCACAACCCAUUAAAGAUUUAAACUGUUUGAAAGUC